rfam:Stereum hirsutum FP-91666 SS1 unplaced genomic scaffold STEHIscaffold_2, whole genome shotgun sequence.
CCCCAGGUAGCUCAGUCGGAAGAGCAGGAAGAAUACAUAUCUGUUGACGCUGGUUCGAGUCCAGCCUGGAGGG